CUCCUCCGCCCCCGCUGCGACGGCCGCCUCCGCCCCGCUCCGACUACGACAGCCGCCUCCACCCCUCUCCGACUGCGACGGCCCCCACCCCGCUCGCUCCGACGGCCACCUCCGCUGCUCCUCCUCCGCCCCCGCUGCGACGGCCUCCUCCGCCUCUGCCCCCGCUACGACGGUCUCCGCCCCGCUCCGACAGCCUCCUGCGCCACAGUGCCCAGCGAUCUCCGAGCGUCGGAGGACUCAAGAACAGAAGAAUUUGAUUGUUGUGCUAUGCAAUUGUGAGUGUUGUGCAUUCUCAAGUGUUUUGCAAUGGGAGAAAUUGACAAACGGGUACCCCAAGUUGGUAUGAGGUUCAGAAAUCCAGACGAAGCUUGGGUGUUUUGGGUUGACUAUGGGGGUUGUGCAGGGUUUGAUGUGAGGAAAAGAAACAAAAAUGUUAUCAAGUUUGAUGGUGAAAUGACUUCAUGUAGAUUUGUUUGUUCCAAUGAGGGCCUUCGGAGAAAAAGGCAAACAUUGGAAAAUCUGCCAAAGCGUUUUAGAGCUGAAACAAGAACGGAUUGCAAAGCUGGGAUGACGAUAACAUUGGAUUGAAUGGCAAGAAACUAUGAAGUCAUUGAUGUUAUGGUGGAACACAACCACUACCUUCAAUUGCCACAAACAUGCCACUUGAUGGCACCACAAAGGAAGAUUUCUGAAAUGCAAGCUUUUGAGAUAGAAACAGCGGAAGAUUCUGGAAUCAUGCCAAAGGCUGCACAUGAGUUUGCUUGUCGUCAAGUUGGUGGACCAUAAACCUUGGCUACACUGAUUGUGACCAAAAGAAUUAUCUGCGAAGCAAGCGACAAAGGGAGUUGGCUUUUGGACAGGCCGGUAGUAUGUUGAAGUAUUUUCAUGACAAAAUUGUUGAGAACCCAUCUUUUCAAUAUGCUUUGCAGUUGGAUUGUGAGGAGCAUAUAACGAACAUAUUCCGGGCUAAUGCUAAAAUGGUUCUGACUAUGCAUACUUUGGUAAUGUCGUCACAUUUGAUACUACUUUUGGCACAAAUAAAGAAUAUAGGCCAUUUGGUGUUUUUCUUGGGCUCAAUCAGUUCAGAGAAACCACCAUUUUUGGUGCUGUCUUGCUAUUUGAUGAAACAUGUGACUCAUUUACAUGGCUUUUUGAGACUUUUCUAGCUGCACAUAAUGGAAGGCAACCUAGAACUAUUUCCACGGAUCAAGAUGCAGCAAUGGGGAAAGCUAUAGGGAAAGUCUUCACGGAAUCAUAUCAUGGACUGUGCACAUUUCAUAUAAUGCAGAAUGCCGUCAAACAUUUAUGUCCAGCAAAGGGUGAAGGAAAAGAUGAAGAGGAAGAGAAAGAUGAUGGGAAAGAUGAAGAUGAAGAGUCUCAUAUCCUCACUGACUUUGGGGAUUGUAUGUAUGGCUAUGAGGACAAAGCAGAAUUUCAAGAAGCAUUUGACAAUAUGAGACAGAGUAUUGGAUGGAAAUAAUAAAUUUGACAAAGUGAGUAUGAAAGAUCCAUGGCUGCAUGCACUAGAGUAUUGGAUGGAAAUAAUAAAUUUGCUGUUGCUAUUGGGAGUUUGCAUGGUGAUCUAAAAUUUGAGGAGGAGCGCAUAGUGACCGGUGAUCCAAUGACUCAAACAGUUUCAUGUAGUUGUGGAAUGUUUGAUAGGACAGGAAUAUUGUGCGGACAUGGUCUCAAAGUUCUUGAUUUGAUGAAUAUAAAGACAUUGCCAAAUCAUUAUAUAUUAAAGAAAUGGACUAGAGAAGCACGCAAUGGAAGUAUACAAGAUAGAGAAGGAAGGAACGUGGUAGAAAAUCCAAAAUUUGAAGCUCAACUUCGGUACAAGAGUUUAUCUCACAAAUUUCACAGAUUGGCAUAUAAAGCAGCCAACUCUCUAAAGUGUUGUUUGAUGUUAGAAAAUGCACUUGAUUCCGUUAGUCCACAACUAGAGGAUAAACUCAGUGCAACUACCAAUGCUUCAAAUAAGCCAUGUAAUGACAAGGAAAAUGUUGACCAAAAUAGUCAACAAAUUAAUGAGAAGUUUUUUAGUGCUGCAAAGCUCAAGAAGAAAGAGGUCCAAUCCAGAAAUCUAAGGAGAAAGAAAACUUGGCUUGAUAAGUUACUCAAGGGGAGGCGCAAGCCAACUAAAGUUGCUGCAUCCAAAAACAAAGGAGCAAAGACGGUAGAACAAAUCAUCAUAAGUAUCAUCAUCACAAGGGGGAGCUGUUAAGAGCUGCGUGUAACUGAUCAUGGCAUUGCGCUCCUGAAGAUCCAGAUUUUCUCCUUUAUCAUUGCUAUCCUUCUCUACUCCUACUUGAGGUUCUACACCAUCAUGUUUCUUUUGCUGCUGCAAACAAGAAAAAAAAUCUAGUUAAUAUUUCAGGAAUGAAUGGUGACAACAUAUAUUAGCAAUUUCUUUUCUAGUACUAACAGCCCAUAUUGCGUUCAGUUCUCUGCUAUUACUAAACAAUAAGCUGUGUUGUUUGGAGAACGUGCUGUUCUUAACCUGAUUCACUUAUUCAAAUGGGCGGACGGACUGCUAUUCUACUGGACUUGCUGCUGCCGGCCGUCCGAUUUAAACGGACGGUGGAUGCUGGCCGCGACGAGGCACCCGGUGCCUCGACAGAGCCAAGGUUGCUUUUGGGGCCUGCACUACCGGCGGCAUCUCUCCACGUACCACUGCACCCCACGGUCCUGUCGAUCGACCGGAUGGAUAGGAUGAAUCAGUAGUAUUGGGAAACCUGUAUUGAUUACUCAAUCGAUCGUAUGGGCGGCCGGACGCGGCAAAGGACUCAGCCUGCCUACACCGCCGUCGGGUGGAUCUCCGUGGACGCGCCACCGGCCUCCUCUGCCUAGCUCCCCGCCGGCCUACCCCGCUGCAGAUUGGAUCUCGCUGGACGCACCGCCGACCUCCUCUGCCUAUCCCGCCAUGGACGCCUCGUACAGAUCCCGCCAUGGACUGCUUGGACAGACCUAGGCGGAGAGGCGCGCGCCGCCGGCAACCAGAGGGGUCUGCGAUUUGGGCGGCGCGGGCGGUCUACGGCAAGGGGAGGCUCGGGGGCAGCUCGAUCAGGCGCCAGCUAGUGGACGCGCGCGCGAGGCAGAAAGGCAGGGAGAGAAGGAACGAAGGAAGCGAAGGAAAGCCGCGCGGGGAGAGAGAGAGAGAGACCUGGGUGUUUCAGAUCGUCGAGGCAGUUCGGCGCGGUUGACAGACGACGUAUCGCCCGCCCGCCCGUCAGGAAUCGCGGGGAAAAGGAGGCCAUGGAGGUGGCAGAACUGGUACUCCCUCUGUUCCUUUUAGGUACGUCAUCUUAGAUUUUCUUAGUCUAUUUCAGUUUAAGUGUCGUUGAGAGUUUUUUAGUCAAA